ensembl:lncRNA
GGCCAUUAGGUGUCAGUAUACCACAGACACUGGAAAGGGGAAUUUACUUUAUUGGAUAGACCCAACCCUCUUGUAACCUCCAUUUAUUGUAGCUCUUCUCCUGCUAUUGUGGUUGCCAUGCUCCCACUGGCUGUAAGGUGAAUAAUACUAUUCAGAGUGUUCAUGGUGUUUGUGUUCCCUUCUCCUCCUCUCUGUAAUAUUUACCUGGAGCACACUGAUGAUGUUCUGAAGGCAGUGGAGGAGAUAGCUGGAGAGGGCAUCCCUGAGAUCCUCAACGCAGUAGCCAAAGACGCCAGCUCUAGAACUUGGCCCACUCUCAACAGGGUGAGGAGAUCCUCUCUCAACACUCAAAGGGGAGUUAUGAAGAGGAGGAAGGCUCCCUGCUGCCUCAGGAGCAGUCAGAAGAUGAGGCCCAGGAGAGUGACUCUGAGGAGAAGAAGAAUGGCAACAGGAAGGAAGAGGGGGAUAACGAUGAAAUUGCAGAUGACUCUGAUAAUUAGGACAAUGUGUAGGAAUACUGUCAACUCUGUGAACUCUUGACCUUUGUGUCAACAAACUCUAACCUUGAUUAACCCAUAUCCCUUUGCACCUUCAGAUAGGAAUAGGUCAGGGAGAACCAAGAGAGGAUUCCUUGUGCGUUGCUGCCAUUGAGAAAAUGGGCAAUUAGGGGAUUACUGUGGAAGGAGGGGUCACUAUGUUAGUGGAUGUUCAAAACGCUGCAAACAGCAUUAGAGUGCUGCAUUUUUUCAAACACUAAUGUCUGAGGCUGAGAAAGGGUCUUAUGAAAUUGUGACGUUUUGGAAAGCUGUUGAGUGCAGAAAAGUUAUUUACUUUAAAGAUACAGUAUGUUGCAAUGAAAUACUUCAACUGUAAAAUAUUAUUAUUCAUGUAUAAGUCUCUCUUUAAAUAUUUUACAGAUUUUUUCUAUAAAUAUGUUAAUCAAGUUUAGCAUGUUUUAAAGUAACUCCCCAGUUAAAAUCUCACUUUUAAAAGUUAACAUUCUGUUAACUCAUAUCCAAAUAAUGUUGUUGACUCGUCCUAUACUCGUAUUUGUAGCCAAAGCAUAAAUUGGAGAAGAAACACUUAAAAAACCCCACCUCAAACUUUUUCUCAAACAGACCGUUUAAAUAAAUGCAUGUUAUUUCCUCAUAGAGUAUGUCAUCUCCCUUAGGAUGAGCUGGCCAAUCAGCGCUCUACUAAUAUAAUAAUAUAAAUAAUAUAAUUUUUUAUGACUGGUACGGUAUACCAGCCUGGUAACAUAGACUAGACGUAAAUAUAGUAAAUGUAAAUCCGGAACACUCCAAUUAGUAUGAUAUGUUACUUCAUAAGACAGAUGGUUACAAAAGUGGGGUGGGUGGGUAGGGACAUAACACAAUGUCUAGCAACCCAAAGGUUGCGAGUUUGAAUCUCAUCACAUACAUCUUUAGCUUUUUAGCUAAUUAGCAACCUUUCAACUACUUUAAUACAUUUUUAGCUACAUUGAAAUGACUUAGCAUGUUAUCUAACCCUUUCCCUAGCCCUAAACAACGUAACCCUUUUAGCUAACCCAUCUCCAUCUCUUAACCAAACUCCUAAACAUAACCCUAACCUUAACCCUAGUGCCUAAGUCCUAGCCCAGCUAACACUAGCCAGCUAGCUAACGUUAUCCACCUAGCUAGAAUUCGUAACAUAUCAUACAUUUUGCAAAUUUGUAACAUAUAAUACGAAUUGUAAAUCGUAACAUAUAAUACGAAAUGGGGGAAGGACAUCCACAAAUUAACACAUACAUUAUGAAACAUAUCAUAUGCUGUAUGGAGGGUCUCGAUUUACAUACAGAAUAAUACAAAAUGCUCUGAGACCAGGUUGCAGCAGGCCUGGCUACAACUCUGAUGAUAGAGCUAAAUGUGCGCAAUUGUUUUGGAAUAAUCAAAAAUGUGUAGUUCUGACUAUGCUCUUCAAGAAGUGAUGCUAUUAAAAGCAAAGAGUUAUCAUAUAUAAUGUGACGUACUGUAUCAUUCAAAUAUAUUCAAGUUAGUCUUGUUUCCAGUCUCACAAGCUUGAUUGAUUGCCUGAAACUGUAGUAGAUAAUGCAAUGGGCUCAUUUGAGUGGUAAGGCGAAAACAGCCAACAGUAGACGAAGGUUGAGGAGUGAAGUUGGGGGAGGUGCAUCUGUUGAAAAAACUGAAAGUAGGACACUAACCACAUUUCCAUCCACAGUUUUGCGAGUAAAGUCAUACCGUAUAUAAAAAAAAUCACGACAGCUGUGAUGCAAAAAAGACGUUUCGGUAGAAUUUGCUAAAUGCCAACAGAAAAUUUGUUUGCUCGAUAUGGUGGGAUCUUUUUGUGUCUAAAAUUAAUAUUGCGAGAAAGGUCGGUGAAAACUCCUUUAUGCGCAAAUAUGAAUAUAAUCACCAUCAUAUUGAAGUAAACUUAGUCACACGAUAUGGUGUGUGUGGUCCUCCCACUACGACUCAGGAAACCAAGUAGUUUAUAAGGCUACAGAUGAAAUUAUGUAUGAUGAACUUCACAGGGUGGUGAAUGUGCACAGUGAUCUUGAUGCUCCAAUUACAAUAAAUAUCGAGGGUCUUAUUCUGGUUACAUGAUGAUCGAUGCUUAAAUAUUCUGGCUCUUAUCCAUAAUAAACUCAUCAUGUAGACUAGCCUACCCGCACUGUAUCUGCGAGCUGUUGGCUACAGCGCAUGUGCCAAAACCAUAGUAAGGCACAUUUGUUAUUUAACUCAUCAGUUUUGUGACUAAACUAUCGGUAGGGUUGAAAAUACGAUGGAAACGUUUAACUUUCGAUUUUGAAAACUUCAGUGAAAAGACAAUUCCGUGUGCACUGUCAUCAUGCACAUAUUUUUAUCCGCAACAAGUCCAUGAAAUUGAAACACCAUUGAUGAGAAAAUGUACAUGCUUUCUUUAUGCGGAUUCUAGAAUAUUCGCAUGAAAAUCUGUCGUCAAUUGGAUGGAAACCUGGCUACUGAUGUGGUUUUCCAACAACAAGGCUAAGUACAACAUGGCAGUGUUGCCAUUGUUUAUGAAGGUUGUUCUUCAUGUCGAAAUAAAUGUCUAUAAUCCCCAUAAAACACUUAACUUGCAGUUGACUGUAGUGAAAACUUCUUGACCUUUGAUCAAAAUCAUUUUUGUAAAGUUCAUGCAGUCGACAUGUAAUUGCAAGUCUGGCCAUUUUUAUCCCCAUAAUACAACACUUUGAAAAGCGGUGACCAACAAUGACAAAAGUGAUCAGCUCAACACGCCCCAUGUACGCAUCUCUUUGGUCAGGGAACCUACACAAGUUUACACAACCAUAGGGUGUAACAGGAUGCGGAUGUAGUCUCGUGGUAAUAUAUUUUAGCUACUUUAAAAUAAAUGGCACCUGGACUAGCCAACCAGCCGAUUGAUAAUGUAAUGUAAUAAUGCACAAUUAUUAUGUUAUUUUUUUAUGAUUAUAGCUUCGUCGAAAAGGGACACCCCUUCAUACGCGUCUAGAUGGUUUAUCCGGGAAGCAUGUUCCUGUGUUUAGGGAAAUACAUGGUGUUAGGCUAUAUAACGCCACCGUCCUACCACAGAUGAGCAAUGAGCCAGAUAUCUCACAGGAUGUAUACAUAUGAAGCAUCCUGUUGGCUUUUCAACUCACUACCAAAUAUGAUGAGGAGGAAGCCCAGCGGCCGGCAGUGGGAGAAGAUGGAGCGAGAUGGAUUUUGGCCAAGAUUCUGCAAAUGUUCUCAUCGAUGAAACAUUUGAUCUGCAUAUAGUUUUCUGUUUCCCAAACUAAAAUUGGUAACAAACAGAGUGGUAUGCGUUUCGUAUAAUGUACCCUUUGCCAAAGUUUGUAAAAAUUGCGACGUUUAAAAGGAGUGCAAGAGCGGGCUGAGUUAUUGCACAUGCGCACUUCAGAGUAGGCGUUCCCUAACGAAAAUAUGCAAAUAAAUUCUAAAACGCGCCAAUAGGAUCUCACUAGCUUGUGCUUGGCUCUGCCCACCUCCGUGCUUGUGCUGCAGACUAUGAUUAAUUUGCUCCAUUGGAAACGACAGGAUCUGGUCUAUCUUGGGUUAGUUAUAAAAAUCUUUCGUCCUACCUUCAGUUAUCACGGAAAAUCGUAUGAAUGCAAACAACAGUUGUACGGAUUAUUCUCGUUUUUACAUCACAAGCAAUUCAUAUGCAUCUUCUUUUCAAAUCUCGGGGAUAUCUUAUUCAUGACGUUUGUGCUUUGUAGUUUGUAGACAGUCCGCAAAUUUGUACAUUCCGAGGAGGCUCUUCUUUGACACUUCAUAUAGAGCUUGACAUAAUCAAAAUAGAACGUUUCACUUGGAAGAGGUUGAGUUGCAUCAGUGG